CCUAGGGGGGGCUGCAGUGGGGAAUAUUGGACAAUGGGCGAAAGCCUGAUCCAGCCAUGCCGCGUGUGUGAAGAAGGCCUUCGGGUUGUAAAGCACUUUCAGUGGGGAAGAAAGCCUUGGGGCUAAUACCCUCGAGGAAGGACAUCACCCACAGAAGAAGCACCGGCUAACUCCGUGCCAGCAGCCGCGGUAAUACGGAGGGUGCGAGCGUUAAUCGGAAUUACUGGGCGUAAAGCGCGCGUAGGCGGUCUGAUAAGCCGGUUGUGAAAGCCCCGGGCUCAACCUGGGAACGGCAUCCGGAACUGUCAGGCUAGAGUGCAGGAGAGGAAGGUAGAAUUCCCGGUGUAGCGGUGAAAUGCGUAGAGAUCGGGAGGAAUACCAGUGGCGAAGGCGGCCUUCUGGACUGACACUGACGCUGAGGUGCGAAAGCGUGGGUAGCAAACAGGAUUAGAUACCCUAGUAGUC
rnacentral:rRNA from 1 species